UACGGAGGAUGCAAGCGUUAUCCGGAUUCAUUGGGUUUAAAGGGUGCGUAGGCGGAAUAAUAAGUCAGUGGUGAAAGCCUGUGGCUUAACCAUAGAAUUGCCAUUGAUACUGUUAUUCUUGAGUAUAGUUGAAGUGGGCGGAAUGUGUAAUGUAGCGGUGAAAUGCUUAGAUAUUACACAGAACACCAAUUGCGAAGGCAGCUCACUAAGCUGUUACUGACGCUGAGGCACGAAAGCGUGGGGAGCAAACAGG
rnacentral:rRNA from 1 species